rnacentral:rRNA from 1 species
AUUGAACGCUGGCGGAAUGCUUUACACAUGCAAGUCGAACGGCAGCACGGGGCAACCUGGUGGCGAGUGGCGAACGGGUGAGUAAUACAUCGGAACGUGCCCAAUCGUGGGGGAUAACGUAGCGAAAGUUACGCUAAUACCGCAUACGAUCUACGGAUGAAAGCGGGGGAUCGCAAGACCUCGCGCGAGUGGAGCGGCCGAUGUCAGAUUAGGUAGUUGGUGGGGUAAAGGCUCACCAAGCCAACGAUCUGUAGCUGGUCUGAGAGGACGACCAGCCACACUGGAACUGAGACACGGUCCAGACUCCUACGGGAGGCAGCAGUGGGGAAUUUUGGACAAUGGGCGCAAGCCUGAUCCAGCCAUUCCGCGUGCAGGAUGAAGGCCUUCGGGUUGUAAACUGCUUUUGUACGGUAACGAAACGGCGAGCUCUAAUACAGUUUGCUAAUGACGGUACCGUAAGAAUAAGCACCGGCUAACUACGUGCCAGCAGCCGACGGUAAACACG